UCCUGGGGGGACACCGGACGGACUCUUGCGUGACCGCGUGCCGGCGGGGCGGUGGCCUUCCCAGGGCCUCCCUGUGCUGCCCAGCAGCCUAAAGGAGGAUGGAGAAGGGGGCUUCUGGGUGUGACAGCUCCCGCCCACGCCGGUGACAGCUCCGCGAAGAGCCAGUGGCCAGGGACGUCCCGGGGCGCAGGGUAGGAGGGGCGCAGGCUGCCGUCCGGGCGGCUCCCGUUCCGGGCCCUGCUGCCCGAGGCCUCUCGUGGCCAAAGGUCGUGUGCGCAGAGAGCAGCUCUUGCCGCCAGCCACUCCUUCGCGGAUGUAUGGAAGUUGUACCCGAGCAGGUCCUAGAGAUUCUGAAACUGGGCCUCAGGGAUGACACCCUGUCAGAACUCCCCGUAGUGGCACUUGAACUUCCCGAAGUGGUGCUUGUCGCUCUGCUUGAUGGACUGACUGGACAAGCUGUAGUUUCUUCUCCUGGAAGUUCUCGAGGACCAGAUUUGGUUUGAUUGGCUGCUUCUAGUCCUGUGGAAAUGAAGGAGAUUGGGUCUCACCUACUGACCAUUGACAUCUGUAAGUCCUCUGAGCUUCUCUUCUGUUCUAUAAAUCAGGGAUCCAUUGGUCUCACAGAAUUCACAGUGAACUUACCUGGAGCUGAAACCCUCAGGCCAGACCACCAUAGUUCUGGAAAUGAGGCAGAGACCGUGGCACACAUCUUUCUGAGUGUCAUCUUUACUUUAGAUGCAAGGAACAGCAAGAGCCAGUGUCAUUUGAACCAUGAUUCACCCCCUCCACAGCCCAUCCCCCAAGUUCAACUUUAUUGAACCUCCACUCAGAGCUGCUGACACACGGUUGGGCUUAGGAAUCUGAAUCUUUGACAAGCUUCUCAAGUAACUUUGCUACAUGGCAAAGUUUGCAGACCCCUGCAAAAUUGAAGCUCCAGAAGAGUCAUACAGUGGCAGGAGAAUGAGAAAGAC